rnacentral:rRNA from 1 species
AGUGGCGGACGGGUGAGUAACGCGUGAGCAACCUGCCUUUCAGAGGGGGAUAACAUUUGGAAACAGAUGCUAAUACCGCAUAAGAUUACAGUACCGCAUGAUACAGUGAUCAAAGGAGCAAUCCGCUGAAAGAUGGGCUCGCGUCCGAUUAGAUAGUUGGUGAGGUAACGGCUCACCAAGUCGACGAUCGGUAGCCGGACUGAGAGGUUGAACGGCCACAUUGGGACUGAGACACGGCCCAGACUCC